rnacentral:rRNA from 1 species
GAACGAACGUUGGCGGCGUGGAUUAGGCAUGCAAGUCGAACGCGAAAGUCGGACUUCGGUCUGGCGAGUAGAGUGGCGAACGGGUGAGUAUCGCGUGGGCAAUCUACCCUCGAGUGGGGAAUAACCAUUCUAACGAGUGGCUAAUUCCGCAUGUGACCGUUUCCUCGCAUGGGGGAGCGGUGAAAGGUGGGGAUCUUCGGACCUACCGCUCGUGGAGGAGCCCGCGUCCCAUUAGCUUGUUGGUAGGGUAACGGCCUACCAAGGCAACGAUGGGUAGCCGAUCUGAGAGGAUGACCGGCCACACUGGGACUGAGAUACGGCCCAGACUCCUACGGGAGGCAGCAGUCGAGAGGCUUCGGCAAUGGGGGAAACCCUGACCGAGCGACGCCGCGUGCGGGAAGAAGGCUUUCGGGUCGUAAACCGCUGUCAGGAGGGAAGAAUGCCCUCGGGUCAAUACCCCGAGGGUUGACGGUACCUCCAGAGGAAGCUCCGGCUAACUCCGUGCCAGCAGCCGCGGUAAUACGGAGGGAGCGAACGUUGUUCGGAAUCACUGGGCGUAAAGGGCGUGUAGGCGGUCUGGCAAGUCAGGGGUGAAAUACCACGGCUCAACCGUGGACGUGCCUUUGAAACUGCCGGACUUGAGGCCGUGAGAGGAGACUGGAAUUCCUAGUGUAGCGGUGAAAUGCAUAGAUAUAGGAAGAACACCAGUGGCGAAGGCGAGUCUCUGGCACGGUUCUGACGCUGAGGCGCGAAAGCUAGGGGAGCGAACGGGAUUAGAUACCCCGGUAGUCCUAGCCGUAAACGAUGGGUACUAGGUGUUGGUCGGUCGACCCGAUCAGUGCCGCAGCUAACGCAUUAAGUACCCCGCCUGGGGAGUACGACCGCAAGGUUGAAACUCAAAGGAAUUGACGGGGCCCGCACAAGCGGUGGAGUAUGUGGUUUAAUUCGAUGCAACGCGAAGAACCUUACCUGGUCUUGACAUCCCGAGGACAGCCCCAGAGACGGGGUCUUCCUUCGGGACUCUAUGACAGGUGCUGCAUGGCUGUCGUCAGCUCGUGUCGUGAGAUGUUGGGUUAAGUCCCGCAACGAGCGCAACCCUCGCCAUUAGUUGCCAGCAUUAAGUUGGCGCACUCUAAUGGGACUGCCGGUGUCAAACCGGAGGAAGGCGGGGAUGACGUCAAGUCCUCAUGGCCUUUAUGACCAGGGCUACACACGUACUACAAUGGCCGAUACAACGGGCAGCCACUUCGCAAGAAGGCGCAAAUCCCUAAAAAUCGGUCCCAGUCCGGAUUGGAGUCUGCAACUCGACUCCAUGAAGUUGGAAUCGCUAGUAAUCGUGGAUCAGCAUGCCGCGGUGAAUACGUUCCCGGGCCUUGUACACACCGCCCGUCACACCACGGGAGUUGGUUGUACCAGAAGCGGUUGAGCUAACCUUCGGGAGAGGAAGGUGUCCAAGGAGUGCUUGGUAAGGGGGAC